rnacentral:rRNA from 1 species
GAUGAACGCUGGCGGCGUGCCUAAUACAUGCAAGUCGAGCGAACAGACGAGGCGCUUGCUCCUCUGACGUUAGCCGCGGACGGGUGAGUAACACGUGGAUAAUCCACCUAUAAGACUGGGAUCAUUUCGGGACACCGGCGCUAAUACCGGAUAAUAUAUUGAACCGCAUGGUUCACUAGUGAAAGACGGCUUUGCUGUCUCUUAUAGCUGGUUCCGCGCCGCAUUAGCUAGUUGGUAAGGUAACGGCUUUCCAAGGCAACUAUGCGUAGACGACCUGAGAGAGUGAUCGGCGACACUAGAACUGAGACACCCACCAUGCGCCUGCGGGAGGGAGCAGUAGCGUAUGUGCCGCAAUAGGCGAAAACUUGACGGAGCAACGCCACGUGAGUGGUAAAGAUAUUGGGUUCGUAAAACUCUGUUAUGAGGUAAAAACAAAUUUGUAAGUAGCUAUGCACGUCUUGACGGUAACUAGUCAGAAAGCCACGGCUAACUACGUG